rnacentral:rRNA from 1 species
AUACGGAGGAUGCGAGCGUUAUCCGGAUUUAUUGGGUUUAAAGGGUGCGCAGGCGGCCAUUUAAGUCAGCGGUUAAAUCUUGGGGCUCAACCCCAUUCUGCCGUUGAUACUGGGUGGCUUGAUUGCGGUCGAGGUUGGCGGAAUUCGUUGUGUUGCGGUGAAAUGCAUAGAUAUGACGAAGAACACCGAUUGUGUAGGCAGCUGACCAGACCGCAAAUGACGCUCAUGCACGAAAGUGCGGGGAUCGAACAGGAUUAGAUACCCUGGUAGUCCGCACAGUAAACGAUGAAUACUUGUUUUCGGCGAUAUAAUGUCGGAGGCAAAGCGAAAGCGAUAAGUAUUCCACCUGGGGAGUACGCCGGCAACGGUGAAACUCAAAUGAAUUGACGGGG